CUCGUACCUAGUGGUUAAGAUAGAUUCCACGGGUAGCAAGAUAUCAGUAUCACUCGUAUUUCAAUCUGACAUGCUUGAGCAGCUGUAGCUAUAAAAAAUCCCCUCUUGGGCUCCCCUACCAAAAUCUGACAUAUACUAGAUUUUGAAUAUAAUAGUUAUCUAGUAUAAAAACAUAAGGUAUUCAUUCAUUUGGUUAAAAUCUGCAGAUUGCCAUGGCACAUAUCACUUAUUUAAAUAAAUAAAUAUUAUACGGCAUUAUUACACAAAUUGACUAAGUCCCACAGUAAGCUCAAUAAGGCUUGUGUUGAGGGUACUUAGACAACGAUACAUAUAAUAUAUAAAUAUUAUUAUACUUCGUUUUUUUAGUUUUAUAAAUCUUACUCAAAUCGAUCUAGCCCCAAACUAAGCAAUAAAGCUUGUACUAUGGGUACUAGCCGACGAUAUACAUACUUGCAUUGAAUGUAGUAUUCGGUCUCCCCUGCUAGCGACGCCCUUGGACGUGUAUGAUUCUAGCGAAGUGAGCUACAGCCGAGGGAAUAAUGUAGGGUUUCGUCACUCUGUAUAAUCUAUUCCAAAUAAUAAUAAAAAAUUACUUCCUAAAUCAAGUCACCUUGAAACAAAAUGGUGAUUUUGAUUGUUAUUCUUAUUACGCCUGUAAAAGAGUUAUUAACCUUUUGACCGCCAAAGACGUCAUAUGACGCGCGCGGCUACAGCCCAAUAUCAACCUUCAUGCGUACCGACAAGGUUCACGAUUACGCGCCGCGUACGAUAGGCGUGGCGUUCAAAAGGUUAAGGGCACAGCAAUAUAAGAGGGCUGAUUAAAUUACAAUUAUUUCGCACAUGUCCACAGGAGAGAAAACGGUACACUGAUGAACACACAAGUUUUUUCUCCUGUGGGCAAUAGUUAACAGCUUGUGGGCAUUGUAGGUAAUGAUCUUACCAAUAUCAUACUUAUCCAAAUAAAUGGAGUACCUUUUUUAUCCAAAUAAAUGGAGUACCUUUUAUUUGGAUAAGGGUUAGAUAAGAAAAAUCUUUAUAGCCCUUAGCUUUUGGGUAUGUCUACAGGAAAGACGUGAACACGGUUUAGUGUUUGACCCAACUGGAUUGUCAAACGACAAUAUUUGACAACUAGAGUUGCCGUAAAGCACCAUCUACAUCAGCUAUUAUUCGAAACACGAUUUCUUCUUCAACACAACUCGUCUGUAAUUAAAUAAUUACUCUGCCUUUAGUUUGUCAUGGUUUUAGAGCAUUUUAUUUUCUACUUUGUCGUAAAAUACACAAGUUUCAGUUGUUCGAAUAACGACGAUAGGUUUAAGAGGGAAGAAUAGCUUGGCGAUCCUAAAGAAAUAACGGUACUUGUUCUAUGAAAUUCCAUUUCGGGAGAAAACGUUUUCCACUUACAAAUCUUAACAAAUCACUUUGAUUUUGAAGUCGAUCGCUUCAGCAUAAUAUAUUCUAGGUUUAUAGGUUACGCUUUUUAAUUAUUUUUUCUUAACCUUUUGACCGUCAAAGACGUGAUAUGACGCGCGCGGCGACAGCCCAAUAUCGACCUUCAUGCGUACCGACAACGUUCACGAUUACGCGCCGUGUACGAUAGGCGUGACGUUCAAAAGGUUAAAAAGGAAAACCUAUAAACCUAGUUUUUCAUUGUGGCAAUAACGUACUAAAAAAUCAUGGAGAAUGGAAAAUAUUUAGAAGUGUUUUUUUCUGUUUUUGUAUAGACGUGCUAUACUUCCCUUUUAAGGUAGAAAAUCAAAUGUAUAAAACCCUUAUAAAACCAUACUUAAUCUCUUAACCUUUGGUAUGCUUAGGAACAGAUCUGCUCCAUAUACAGGGUGACCUUAGUCAUUGGACAAACCCUGAAAUCCCACGUAGGGUUACUUCUCAGGAAUGCUCUGACGUUAAUAUUUUUUAAUUAGAACAAAGGAUAAAAAAAAUAAUUUUUCGAACAAAAGUUAUUUGCAAUAAUCGACAACAAAAAGAAACACACUGUGUUAAUCUUUGGCAGUGUUUUUGACAAUUUGUUAGAAAUAUUUGAUAAUGAUGACAUUUUUCAAAAGUCAGAAGCUUAUUAGUGUCAUAAAUAAAAAAGAUAAUCAAAAAGGUCGAAGAAGGUUCCAUACUAUCUUUGAGAAUAUUACCUUAGGAGCUACUAACACAUACAGGCUGCUCCAAAGUAAAAAAUGGUAAUUUGUUAAUUUCUUCGAAACCGCUACACCGGCUGUUAUGAUACUUUGUACACUGGUUCUAAAUACCCUAAUGCAUAUGUACAGUCAGCGUCAAAUACUUUGUAGCAACCAAAGUGGCCAAAUAGUUCGGUACACCAUACUAAAUAUAUGGUGUACCGAACUAUUUGGCCACUUUGGUUGCUACAAAGUAUUUGACGCUGACUGUACAUUUCGGCUUUGUCCAAUGGCUAGCGACACACUGUAUAUUUAACCAAAUUCAACUUAAAACAUGAAUAUGUCAUGGUUGCUAAAUAAAUGACAAAUGUUUGACAGGCGCAUACUAAAGGUUAACACACACCGUACAAAAAAAUUGGCAGUUGAAUCUAAAAUCAAUAGUGAAGGAAAUAUAGUUGAAUUUCUUUUGUUUGAAAAUCGGACAAAACAACUGCAACUCUGUUCCAAUAGAAAAUGAUAAUUACAUUGAAGUUAUUAAGCACUACGGGUAGGACCGUGGGCCUAAUUUGUUUUAUAGAUAUCUACAUAUUGAUGGAGUGAUGUUUCGCUACUUGUGCCUGCAGAUGUUUUAAAAAAAGAGAUGUGUGUGAAAUAAAUAAUGAAACUAUUA